rnacentral:rRNA from 2 species
GAUGCGUUGAGCUAACCGGUACUAAUGAACCGUGAGGCUUAACCUUACAACGCCGAAGAUGUUUUGGCGGAUGAGAGACGAUUUUCAGCAGUGAUUCAGAGUUGAGUA